GGGAGGCAGCAGUGGGGAAUUUUUGACAAUGGGCGCAAGCCUGAUCCAGCCAUGCCGGGUGUGUGAAGAAGGCUUUUUGGUUGUAAAACACUUUAAGGGAGGAGGAGACUACCUAUAUUAAUACUAUAAGGUAGUGGACGUUACUCGCAGAAUAAGCACCGGCUAACUUUGUGCCAGCAGCCGCGGUAAUACAGAGGGUGCGAGCGUUAAUCGGAAUUACUGGGCGUAAAGCGCGCGUAGGCGGUUUGUUAAGUUGGAUGUGAAAUCCCCGGGCUCAACCUGGGAAUUGCAUUCGAUACUGGCAAGCUAGAGUAUGGGAGAGGAAGGUAGAAUUCCCGGUGUAGCGGUGAAAUGCGUAGAGAUUUGGAGGAAUACCGAUGGCGAAGGCAGCCUUCUGGCCUAAUACUGACGCUGAGGUGCGAAAGCAUGGGGAGCAAACAGGAUUAGAUACCCUGGUAGUCCAUGCCGUAAACGAUGUCGUCUAGCCGUUGGGGGAUUUGAUCCUUUAGUGGCGCAGCUAACGCGAUAAGU
rnacentral:rRNA from 1 species